rnacentral:lncRNA from 1 species
AAGGUACAUCAUUUCUAAUUUCUGCUUUUUGAUUUGUAAUAUUAUUCUUUUAUAUUGCAUCUUAAACAUUCCUGUUAGUUAUGUUAUAGUUUUUGGAGAACUGUUUAAGCCACCCUUAUCAAAACCUAAAAUUAGUAAAAGCUCUCGGUUCAUGAGGACUGAUUUGAACUUAUCAACCUGGCAAUUGAAACUAAGGCCUGAUUGCUAAUGUUGUAAAUUUUUAAAUAAUUGUUAUUAGUUGCCGUAGAAAUAAUCAGCUGUAAAGAAAAUCAAUUAAACAUUUGGUAAAAUUUAUUUUUAAAAGCUUAAAAACAGCUCAGUGUGUUUAGUAAAUUUAACUGCCUUAAGAAUAUAAAUAACUGAAUUAGACAUAAUGUUAAAUAAAAUUUUAUUUGUACAUUUACAAACAUGUAUAUAAAAUUCUUUUAUUGUGUAUGUAUAAUAAUUGAUAACUAAAAUAAAUAUUUUAUAUUAUUAAGUUUAUUUGUUUUUAUUUUGUUACCUCAAUAUAAUUGGUAAUAAAUAUAAUCUCUUUAAAAUUAAUAAUUUUUAUUUUCUAAUUAAUAAGGAUAAUUUUGAAUUUUUAUAAUAUAUAUUUGUACUAGGGUAUAUAUGAAAUCGUAUUAAAUUAAAAACUGAUUCUUAAAAUUAGAUUUUGAAAAAUUACUCUCUCGCCGCUUUUCAAAUCUACCGUGAGAUGAGGUGAUUUUGUCAAAAAUGUUUUUUAAAAAAUUCAUUAAAUAUCAAAAUUUGCUUUUAACUUUUUAAAUCACUUUUGAACUUCUCAAAGCAAUCCUAAACAGGCCCUAUGAAUGUUACUAACUACGCGUAACUUCCAAGCUUCUAUCUAAUCCGGCUUUUGGCAACUUAAAAUAAUAAUUAUGUAUACAAUAUAGAGUACUCUAUGAACUGGCAGUGGUAAGUGCCUACUGAUGGUUAAUGAGUAAGCAAGAUAUCAUUGUACCGUUUUUUCCAUCCUUUGUACCUUUUGAUUUUGAUUUUUAAUUUUUUUUAAACCUUAGCAACUAUCUAGGAUAGUUUCUGAUUUUUCACUUAAAUUCUUUUGUCAACAUAAAGCCGAAAGACUUUAAGUAAGCAAACGUCAACAUGAAAGUUGGGAGGGAUUUUAUUUUGGGUGGUCAUACAAGCUAGUAGCCCUUUGCUUUUUUGGUAUUGUUUUCUACCUACCAAUGACUUGGAUUGGUUUGUGAGACGGUGAAAAUUGUUUUAAUGGAACUUACAAUACAGAGUACUCUAUGAACUGGCAGUGGUAAGUGCCUACUGAUGGUUAAUGAGUAAGCAAGAUAUCAUUGUACCGUUUUUUCCAUCCUUUGUACAUCUUGAUUUUGAUUUUCUAUUUUUUUAAGCCUUAGCAACUAUCUAGGAUAGUUUCUGAUUUUUCACUUAAAUUCUUUUGUCAACAUAAAGCUGAAAGACUUUAUAUAAGCAGACGUCAACAUGAAAGUUGGGAGGGAUUUUAUUUUGGGUGGUCAUACAAGCUAGUAGCCCUUUGCUUUUUUGGUAUUUUUUUCUACCUACCAAUGACUUGGAUUGGUUCGUAAGACGGUGAAAAUUGUUUUAAUGGAACUUACAAUACAGAGUACUCUAUGAACUGGCAGUGGUAAGUGCCUACUGAUGGUUAAUGAGUAAGCAAGAUAUCAUUGUACCGUUUUUUCCAUCCUUUGUACCUUUUGAUUUAGAUUUUUAAUUUUUUUUAAACCUUAGCAACUAUCUAGGAUAGUUUCUGAUUUUUCACUUAAAUUCUUUUGUCAACAUAAAGCCGAAAGACUUUAAGUAAGCAAACGUCAACAUGAAAGUUGGGAGGGAUUUUAUUUUGGGUGGUCAUACAAGCUAGUAGCCCUUUGCGUUUUUGGUAUUUUUUUCUUCCUACCAAUGACUUGGAUUGGUUCGUGAGACGGUGAAAAUUGUUUUAGUGGAACUUACAAUACAGAGUACUCCAUGAACUGGCAGUGGUAAGUGCCUACUGAUGGUUAAUGAGUAAGCAAGAUAUCAUUGUACCGUUUUUUCCAUCCUUUGUACCUUUUGAUUUUGAUUUUUAAUUUUUUUUAAACCUUAGCAACUAUCUGGGAUUCUUUGUACAUUUUGAUUUUGAUUUUCAAUUUUUUUAAGCCUUAGCAACUAUCUAGGAUAGUUUCUGAUUUUUCACUUAAAUUCUUUUGUCAACAUUAAGCCGAAAGACCUUAGGUAAGCACAUGUCAACAUGAAAGUUGGGAGUGAUUUUAUUUUGGGUGGUCGUACAAGCUAGUAGCCCUUUGCUUUUUUGGUAUUUUUUUCUACCUACCAAUGACUUGGAUUGGUUCGUAAGACGGUGAAAAUUGUUUUAAUGGAACUUACAAUACAGAUUACUCUACGAACUGGCAGUGGUAAGUGCCUACUGAUAGUUAAUUAGUAAGCAAGAUAUCAUUGUACUGUUUUUUCCAUCCUUUGUUCCUUUUGAUUUUGAUUUUUAAUUUUUUUUAACCUUUGCAACCAUCUAGGAUAGUUUCUGAUUUUUCACUUAAAUUCUUUUGUCAACAUAAAGCUGAAAGACUUUAUAUAAGCAGACGUCAACAUGAAAGUUGGGAGGGAUUUUAUUUUGGGUGGUCAUACAAGCUAGUAGCCCUUUGCUUUUUUGGUAUUUUUUUCUACCUACCAAUGACUUGGAUUGGUUCGUAAGACGGUGAAAAUUGUUUUAAUGGAACUUACAAUACAGAUUACUCUACGAACUGGCAGUGGUAAGUGCCUACUGAUAGUUAAUUAGUAAGCAAGAUAUCAUUGUACUGUUUUUUCCAUCCUUUGUUCCUUUUGAUUUUGAUUUUUAAUUUUUUUUAACCUUGAGCCCGUGCUGCCUGAUGAUUCAAACGAGAGUCAGAGGACGCGUGCUCUCUUAGAAGGGGACAUUUUUGUAAUGACCAUCUACAGGGCCAAAGGUAAACACAGGACUGAACAAGAGUUUAAGCAACUUGGUCUCUCUGCUGGUUUUCCACACUUGAGAGCUUUUUAUGUCGAUUAUUUUCACA